AGUCGAGCGGAAGGCCCUUCGGGGUACUCGAGCGGCGAACGGGUGAGUAACACGUGAGUAACCUGCCCCUGACUCUGGGAUAAGCCCGGGAAACUGGGUCUAAUACCGGAUACGACACCUCCUGGCAUCGGGUGGGUGUGGAAAGUUUUUUCGGUUGGGGAUGGACUCGCGGCCUAUCAGCUUGUUGGUGGGGUAAUGGCCUACCAAGGCGACGACGGGUAGCCGGCCUGAGAGGGCGACCGGCCACACUGGGACUGAGACACGGCCCAGACUCCUACGGGAGGCAGCAGUGGGGAAUAUUGCGCAAUGGGCGAAAGCCUGACGCAGCGACGCCGCGUGGGGGAUGACGGCCUUCGGGUUGUAAACCUCUUUCAGCAGGGACGAAGUUGACGUGUACCUGCAGAAGAAGCGCCGGCUAACUACGUGCCAGCAGCCGCGGUAAUACGUAGGGCGCAAGCGUUGUCCGGAAUUAUUGGGCGUAAAGAGCUCGUAGGUGGCUUGUCACGUCGGGUGUGAAAGCUUGGGGCUUAACUCCAGGUCUGCAUUCGAUACGGGCUGGCUAGAGGUAGGUAGGGGAGAACGGAAUUCCUGGUGUAGCGGUGAAAUGCGCAGAUAUCAGGAGGAACACCGGUGGCGAAGGCGGUUCUCUGGGCCUUACCUGACGCUGAGGAGCGAAAGCGUGGGGAGCGAACAGGAUUAGAUACCCUGGUAGUCCACGCUGUAAACGUUGGGCGCUAGGUGUGGGGACCUUCCACGGUUUCCGCGCCGUAGCUAACGC
rnacentral:rRNA from 1 species